rnacentral:rRNA from 1 species
AGUGAACGCUGGCGGUGCGCCUAAUACAUGCAAGUCGAACGAGAAACUGAAUUUAUUCAGCGGAAAGUGGCGGACGAGCGAGUAACACGUAAGAACCUGCCCUAUACUCGGGGAUAACUGGUCGAAAGAUCAGCUAAUACCGGAUAGUCUCUUCGGAGUAAAGAUUUAUCGGUAUAGGAGGGGCUUGCGGCUUAUCAGUUUGUUGGUGGGGUAAUGGCCUACCAAGACUAUGACGAGUAGCUGGUGUGAGAGCAUGACCAGCCGCGAUGGGACUGAGACACGGCCCAU